rnacentral:rRNA from 1 species
UUGGAGGGCAAGUCUGGUGCCAGCAGCCGCGGUAAUUCCAGCUCCAAUAGCGUAUAUUAAAGUUGUUGCAGUUAAAAAGCUCGUAGUUGAAUUUCGGGGUUCUACCGUUGGUCGGGCUUUGUCUGUACUGGUGUGUAGAAUUUCUACCUUCUGGGGAACCAUCAUGCUAUUAAUUUAGCGUGGUGGGAAACCAGGACCUUUACCUUGAAAAAAUUAGUGUGUUCAAAGCAGGCUUAUGUCUGAAUACAUUAGCGUGGAAUAAUAGAAUAGGACGGUGGUCCUGUUUUGUUGGUUUCUGAAUCACCGUAAUGAUUAAUAGGGAUAGUUGGGGGCAUUAGUAUUCAAUUGUCAGAGGUGAAAUUCUUGGUUUUAUUGAGGACUAACUUCUGCGAAAGCAUUUGCCAAGGAUGUUUUCAUUAAUCAAGAACGAAAGUUAGGGGAUCGAAGACGAUCAGAUACCGUCGUAGUCUUAACCAUAAACUAUGCCGACUAGGGAUCGGACGAUGUUAAUUUUUCUUGACUCGUUCGGCGCCUUACGGGAAA